UGAACGCUGGCAGCGUGGUUAAGACAUGCAAGUCGCACGGAUAUAGCAAUAUAUCAGUGGCGCACGGGUGAGUAAUGUAUCGCUAAUGUGCCCCGGACUCUGGGAUAGCUAUCCGAAAGGGUAGGUAAUACCAGAUAAUAUGACCCGGCCGCAUGGUCGGGUUCUCAAAGGUCCGCCGGUUUGGGAGCAGGCGAUAUCGUAUCAGCUUGGUGAGGUAACGGCUCACCAAGGCGACGACGCGUAGCCGGACUGAGAGGUCGGUCGGCCACAUCGGGACUGAGACACUGCCCGGACCCCUACGGGGGGCUGCAGUAACGAAUCUUCCCCAAUGCACGAAAGUGUGAGGGAGCGACGCUGCGUGGAGGAUGAAGUCCUUCGGGAUGUAAACUCCUGUCGGGAGCUACCAAGUUCUGAGGAGCUCCAAAGGAAGUGGCGGCUAACUCUGUGCCAGCAGCCGCGGUAAGACAGAGGCCUCGAGCGUUAGGCGGAAUCACUGGGCUUAAAGCGUGUGUAGGUGGAUUCUUAAGUGCCUUGUGAAAUCCCACGGCUUAACCGUGGAACUGCUGGGCAUACUGGGAAUCUUGAGCCAUCUAGGGGCAACUGGAACAGACGGUGGAGCGGUGAAAUGCGUAGAUAUCGUCUGGAACGCCAAUGGUGAAGACAGGUUGCUGGGGAUGUGCUGACACUGAGACACGAAAGCCAGGGGAGCAAACGGGAUUAGAUACCCCGGUAGUCCUGGCCCUAAACGAUGUCCACUAGAUCGCAGCACUUUUGACGGUGUUGUGGUCGAAGUAAAAAUGUUAAGUGGACCGCCUGGGAAGUACGGUCGCAAAGCUA
rnacentral:rRNA from 1 species